rnacentral:rRNA from 1 species
UGAAACAAUGGUUAACAGGAACAGCCGGGGGCAUUCGUAUCGCUGCGCGAGAGGUGAAAUUCGGGGACCGUAGCGAGACGCACUAAAGCGAAGGCAUUUGCCAAGAGUGUUUUCAUUAAUCAAGAACGAAAGUCAGAGGUUCGAAGGCGAUUAGAUACCGCCCUAGUUCUCACCGUAAAUGAUGCCAACUGCCAAUCCGCUGGUGGAUUUAAUUCACGAGCGGGCGGGCUUCCGGAAACGAAAGUUUUUCGGUUCCGGGGGAAGUAUGGUUGCAAAGCUGAAACUUAAAGGAAUUGACGGAAGGGCACCACCAGGAGUGGAGCUUGCGGCUUAAUUUGACUCAACACGGGAAACCUCACCCGGCCAGCACAUUGUGAGGAUUGACAGACCGAUAGCUCUUUCAUGAUUCGGUGGAUGGUGGUGCAUGGCCGUUCUUAGUUCGUGCUAACGAAGUGUCUUCUUAAUUGAGAUAACGAGCGAGACGCCAACUGUUAACUAGUGCGUCGAUUGGUUCGCUUGUCGGCGAUCAUUUCUUAACGGGAUUUGUGGUGUCUAGCCUCAAGAAAUGGCGCAAUAACAGGUCUGUGAUGCCCUUAGAUGUUCGGGGCCGCACGCGUGCUACAAUGGUGGUAUCAGCGUGAUUGUCCUACUCCGACAGGAGAUGGAAAACAGUUGAGAUAUUAUUAUGGCUGGAAUCGAGUGUUGCAAUUUUCACUCGUGAACGAGGAAUUCCAAGUAAAUGCGAGUCAUCAACUCGCAUUGAUUACGUCCCUGCCCUUUGUACACACCGCCCGUCGCUCCCCGGGACUGAGUUGUUUCGAGAAAUCUACGGACUGGUGCCGUCGCAUGUUUCGGCAUGCUCGUCGCUGGAAAGUAGUUUAAUCGCAAUGGCUUGAACCGGG